rnacentral:lncRNA from 1 species
AGACCAUGUUGAAUGAAACAAGGUAUUUACUGAAAACAGUUUACUGAUUUAAUAAAUGAGGGACAGACAAUAAACUGACACUUGUAAAUUAGGAGCUUGACAAUUCAGAUAGGUAUAAGAGCUAUUCAGUGGAUGACUCUGGCUUUUGAGCAUGUCUUUAUUUCCAUGUGAGGUAGAUCACAUUGGUUGUGCAGACGUUCUUUAAUCCAAAGAGACAGAUAUUACAUGCAUACAGUUAGUAUAGAUGAAGAUUUAAGUUCUCUGACUUUUUUAAAAGAUUUUAUUUAUUUAUUCAUGAGAGACAGAGAGAGGCAGAGACAUAGAGGGAGAGGAAGUCUCCUUGUGGGGAGCCCGAUGCAGGACUUGAUCCCAGGACCCCAGGAUCACACCCUGAGCUGAAGGCAGACACUCAACUGCUGAUCCACCCAGGAGUCCCACCCUUACAUUUUUUUUUUUAGCUUGUUUCACUCUCAUCUUUCAUUUCCUUAAAUAUAAUCAGGAAAGUUUCUUACCUCCACCAAAGCAGAUUGAAAGAGACACCAAACAGAUGUCACUUAACUCCUACAGAAGAAUGUAGGGUUGGAGAAACAUUCCUUGGCUGUCAUAAUUCAACAGCUAAACACCAGUCAAGAAUUCAGUUCCUAGGGGACCAAGAAAUCACUUUGCAAAGAAAGAGGCUCUGAGGACCAAGGAGGGGAAAUGAUGACUCUUAAAAUGGGAGAGCUAUUCUUGACCUUCCUCAUCCUUGACAAGCUCCAGAGGGCGUUGAAGGAAUCAGCACUCACAAGAAAGACAAUUUGUUCGACUCUGGAGAGAGCACUGACUUCAUCAGUACAGAGCAUCUUCUUCCUUAAGAAUUUCAGUUACCAGGAGAACUGGAACUAAUAAAAAAUGGAUAUAGUUCUCUGUCAGGUGAGGCAAGUUGCUCAUCACUGUGUGGCAUCUGCUAUAAAUGCAGAAACCUAGGACCUAUUUAUUUUUACUAAGAGGGAAACAGAAUAUGGGGAAUUUAGUAACACAUGAAAUAUAGAAAAAAAUACUAUUCCAAUUUAUCCUUACCAGUGAGCAUUAUGCUGCCCGUGUUUUGAAAAAAAUAAAAUAUAUAAAAAACAACUUUGGAAGCAGAGAACAUGAUGCUUUUAAAGUAUUGGCCAAAUUCUAUUCCUGCACUAAAAAGAAAGGAAGAAAAAAUCGUGUUUAUCAGCCUAUGCGUGGAUGUGUCUGUAUAAACACGUUUGCAUAUGUGGACAGAGUUCUCUGCCUUUAAAAACAUUCUUCCCUCCUCAUUCAGAAAUCACUACAGUCCUAUUACAUGCUGUAAUUCAGCUGCUCUUCUUCAGAAGCCAAGUUUUAAAAAAAUCCCCUAAAUAAUCCUGCCCCGUCAGAACUUCCUUCUGAGUUUUGAGACCUGGUUCAUCUCAGUGUUGCUUCUUACAAACAAGACGGGGAAAGCCCAAGAUAGUAUCCUCAGAAGAACCUGCAUCUACAGGUGAGGAAUGCUGAGGCGCUGUUGGGUGGAAUGUGGAGUUCAUGCAUAGCUGUUGCUGUCACAGUAACUACAUGCCGUGUGGAAGGGCUCUAAACUCAUCUGACUUGACUGAAAGUAGCAUUAUACAUAUUUGAGGUUUGGAGUGACACAGUCAACUAACCAUUCCUACAGAUCAUUUCCGUGGCUAGGACAUAGCGGCAUUAGCCCACAUAGCUAGGCGACCUCAUAAGGGUCGCAUAUGAUGUGAACCAUCACAGUAAGCCAUCCUCAAUUACUUCCUGCAAUUUGAGGUUCUCGAAUGUGCCAGAGCCCCAUCGGAUAAAGGAGCUUGAUCUUAU